rnacentral:rRNA from 1 species
UACGUAGGGGGCAAGCGUUGUCCGGAAUCAUUGGGCGUAAAGCGCGUGUAGGCGGUUCAGUAAGUCUGCUGUGAAAGUCCAGGGCUCAACCCUGGGAUGCCGGUGGAUACUGUCGGGCUAGAGUGCGGAAGAGGCGAGUGGAAUUCCUGGUGUAGCGGUGAAAUGCGCAGAUAUCAGGAGGAACACCUAUUGCGAAGGCAGCUCGCUGGGACGUAACUGACGCUGAGACGCGAAAGCGUGGGGAGCAAACAGG